rnacentral:rRNA from 1 species
GUGCCAGCCGCCGCGGUAAUUCCAGCUCCAAUAGCGUAUAUUAAAGUUGUUGUGGUUAAAAAGCUCGUAGUUGAACCUUGGGCCUGGCUGGCCGGUCCGCCUCACCGCGUGCACUGGUCCGGCCGGGCCUUUCCCUCUGUGGAACCCCAUACCCUUCACUGGGCGUGGCGGGGAAACAGGACAUUUACUUUGAAAAAAUUAGAGUGCUCCAGGCAGGCCUAUGCUCGAAUACAUUAGCAUGGAAUAAUAAAAUAGGACGCGCGGUUCUAUUUUGUUGGUUUAUAGGACCGCCGUAGUGAUUAAUAGGGACAGUCGGGGGCAUAAGUAUUCAACUGUCAGAGGUGAAAUUCUUGGAUCAGUUGAAGACUAACUACUGCGAAAGCAUUUGCCAAGGAUGUUUUCAUUAAUCAGGAACGAAAGUUAGGGGAUCGAAGACGAUCAGAUACCGUCGUAGUCUUAACCAUAAACUAUGCCGACUAGGGAUCGGACGGUGUUAUUCAUGACCCGUUCGGCACCUUACGAGAAAUCAAAGUGCUUGGGCUCCAGGGGGAGUAUGGUCGCAAGGCUGAAACUUAAAGAAAUUGACGGAAGGGCACCACCAGGGGUGGAGCCUGCGGCUUUAAUUUGACUCAACACGGGGAAACUCACCAGGUCCAGACACAAUAAGGAUUGACAGAUUGAG